AUUACUUCUUUUUUUUCUUAUUAUGACUUGAAUAAAACAAAUUUCGAAAUAGAAAUGAUUAAUAAAAAAUUUC
rnacentral:tRNA from 1 species